AUUGAACGCUGGCGGCAGGCCUAACACAUGCAAGUCGAACGAGUGGCGGACGGGUGAGUAAUGUCUGGGCAACUGCCCGAUGGAGGGGUCUAAAUACUGGAAACGGUAGCUAAUACUGCAUACCACAGGUUCUGACCAGAUGGGAUUAGCUAGUGGGUGGGGUAAUGGCUCACCUAGGCGACGAUCCCUAGCUGGUCUGAGAGGAUGACCAGCCACACUGGAACUGAGACACGGUCCAGACUCCUACGGGAGGCAGCAGUAGGGAAUAUUGCACAAUGGGCGCAAGCCUGAUGCAGCCAUGCCGCGUGUAUGAAGAAGGCCUUCGGGUUGUAAAGUACUUUCAGCGAGGAGGCGUUACUCGCAGAAGAAGCACCGGCUAACUCCGUGCCAGCAGCCGCGGUAAUUC
rnacentral:rRNA from 1 species